UACGUAGGGUGCAAGCGUUGUCCGGAAUUAUUGGGCGUAAAGAGCUCGUAGGCGGUUUGUCGCGUCUGCUGUGAAAACUCAGGGCUUAACCCUGAGCUUGCAGUGGGUACGGGCAGACUAGAGUGCGGUAGGGGAGACUGGAAUUCCUGGUGUAGCGGUGAAAUGCGCAGAUAUCAGGAGGAACACCGGUGGCGAAGGCGGGGUCUCUGGGCCGUAACUGACGC
rnacentral:rRNA from 1 species